UUUCAUCAGCUAUAAAGACAGAGGCUAUAUAGCCGAAAUUUUCAGUUCUAUUCUGCAAGCUCAGAGAUGCAAAAAGCCUGCGGCGCUCUGGAGGCGCCUGGUCCUGGGGACCUCUUUCCUCCACUCUGUUCUCAGCAUAGGAAGAUGGGGCUGGGGAAUUCUUUUUGGUUUUCUGGUUUUGUUUUGCUCUGGUUUUGGUCGGGGUUUUGUAUUUUUCUAUUCUUCCUUGGUUUUAUUUUUUCCUUUUUUUCCUUUUUUUUUUUCUUUUGCUUUCCUGUCAUUCUCCCAGCCAAAAGCCGCCUUCGACCCUUUUGAUUUGAUGUAGCAAAGAGUGUGUGUCCAGAUUAUCUGAAAUAGACACUGAAGAAGCUACAUAGAUGGUCAAGCAGGGCCCGGAAGAAGACCAUUCAGGAAAAAGUGGUCCAGGACUCGGUGGAUGGGCUGCCGGCAGACCGGUGUGGCUCAGACCUGGUGACUUUUUGGAGAGGUCGUAGAAUGAGGACAGCAGACACACGAGGACCUUGACUUCGGCGCACAGACAGUGCAAAAAGGAGACAAAGACGGACAGAAUCAAAAAAGAGCGUAUUUCCCCCUCCUACGUAUUUGUUUUUCCUGAUAGUCUCACAAAGAUGAGAGUCUGGUCCGGUCCAGCGGGUUAUCUUGUGGCACUGGCUGUCUCCAGUGGCUGUGCCUGCGCUUUGAGGCCACUCUGCUGUUCACCGUGGCCCAAACCAGAUUCGGGCUGAAAGGUCGCUGAGUCAGACUUUUAGGGGCUCCGAGAAGCAGCAAGCCCUCUGCCUUCACUGUUCCUUUUUCUUUUAUUUUUAGCUCCCCACCCCCACCCCUGCUCCCGCUCGUGGGCUCUUCUCCUCCUGGCCCAGGGCGUGCGAAAAGGUGGAUGAACCUGGAGGCGGGAGGGGCCGGGCCAAGGGAGACGGGCAGGAAGCGGGUGAGUGCGAACUGAUAACCUCACAUCAGUUGAGGCUGCUGCAUAGCUUCUUGGUGCGCUGAGGGAUACCAUGAUGUAUAGCUGGGGACGUAGGAGCCAGCGCUGCUGCCGGAGCCCUUCCCAGAUGAGGAGUUCGGAUUCCAGCCGGGUGGUACCGGUGGGGAGCCGGCAGACAAGGCUCUGCCGUUCGCCAGCGCGCUGCCCUCCAGAGCUGCCCCGCCUUGCUUCAUCAGCUUCUUGAACUUGGAGCGUUUGUUCUGGAACCAUAUCUUGACCUGCAGGAUCGGGCGACAACGUGACUGGACUAUGACCAUUGAGCCUACCCAGGUCCAAGGAGAAAAGGGACGGGUGGACAACAAUACCCGCCCUCCUUGCUUUGGGAAAGCUGACAGCUCCAGGACAGAGGGGCAGAGACCACCGCCUCCCCACACCCCAUGAGGGCCAAAGGCCAGAAAAUUGAGCCCCAGGUCCAGCCGCUGUUGGCAACUUUUAGAGCAGCUAUCAGAGCCGGGAAUAAGAGAACAGGGGAGAGCCAGGCCUUGGCUUGCAAAUGAGACGAUGCCACCUGGGCGACGUUUAUGGAAGACCUCAUGCAGCACAAUGCAAUAACAAUAAAGAAAAUUUAAAACCUAGAUAGGAACGGGGUGGGGGGCGGGGGCAUUUGUUAAAAUUAGAUCUCCUUUCCUCGUAGGACUAUUGGAAGAGGCUACAGCGUCUUUGUUAAACUCUUUAGACUCAAACCAAUUCUCCCCCCCACCCCCAACGGUGUAUUUGCUUUCCCCAGCUCCAACCUAAAUCUAGAGACAGACUGGCCCUCGUUCGAAUGCCUAGGAACUGCCCAGGGUCUUAGAGAAGUGCAGGAAGAAAAAAGAAAAAUCUCACUUUUUUUUUCCCCCUUCUUCUUAAGGAUCUGGAACUUGGGAAGUGAAGGGCCAGAGGGAAGGAUCUGCCUCUGCCACCUCGCAAGAAGAAGGAGGUGGGGGAAGCAGGCUUAGGCCCAGGACCUGAGUGAUUAGUGGCACACUUUAAAGGCUAAGGAAGAUUAAAUCCCCCUUCUAUUGUUCCAGUUGUUCAGGCACGUGUGACCUCAGAACCUCCAAACAAAACGUCUGGGGAAAUCCUUCCAGUUCCCUGCCUGGUCAGAAGACCAGGUAGCCUGCAGGUCAGAGAGUAGGGUCCGAGCUAGGGCAAACAGUUUGAGGGAGGAAGAGGAGACGCUGAAAGUCAGAGGUGGAUACACACACACACACACACACACACACACACACACGGGUUGGGGGGCGGACUGUGACACCUAGAACCAGAGGCCCAGCGAACAAAAAAUGUGAAGCCUGGGGCUGGAGCCCAGCUCCCGAGGCUUGUUUGGCAGAGCGGCCAGGUACCUGCGUCUGUGUGAGUCCCAAGGAGGCCGCCAGCUCCGCCCUCUCAGGCAGAGCUAAGUACUGAGUUUGUUGGAACCUCCGGUUCAAAGCCUGCAACUGCAAACUGGAAUAAAUUGUCCUGGGUUUACGGAUCUUUUUCCCUUUGCCGUUAAAGCGCACCUCGCCGCCUUCCACCACCGUACUCUUCUCGGAGUCCGCCCCUGGAGGGACAACAGAAGCAGAGACCCUUGUUAAUGCUGCACUGCCUUUAGUGAGGAGGGACGAGAAUGAAUGUCUAUGGAUGGGUUGGCAGAAGUAGGGUCCGGAAAAGAACGUUCAAGAAACCCUGAAAGACUGCGAAGGUCCCUCAAGGUCCGAGCGCACGUCCCUGGCUGCUGCAGACAGAAUUGGGUCGUUCCCAAGAGCGCAGCUAUUGCCUUUGCAGAGAAAGUUUGCUAUUUUUUGCAGGCGGUAGUUGAGGUUUAAUUACCCUUAAUUGCAUACAUUGUUUAUAGCGCUACGCAAUAAAUAAUUACCGAGACUAAUACGUGCACAUGUGGGUUUCUGUUUUCCAGCAGGGCAUUGUGUGCUCGGCGCACCGAGCGGCCCAGAGGCCCAGCCAGUGCCAGGAGACGCGCUCGGAUUUAUCCUUUGCUGGACAGUUGUAAAUUGAAUUGACUUAUAAUUUUUUUCUUUUCAGUGACAAGGAUCCACAGAUUGAUAUCCGAAACCUCUACUACUUCCGCGCUUUCCCCACCCCCACCCACCUCUCUACCCCACACUCUCUUGUCUUUUCUCUUUCCCCCUCCCCUUCUCCCCCUCUCUCCUAUUCUCCUUCCCUUCUCUCCUUGUCCCUGGCAAGCGCACGUACCUGGGUCCUCCAGGCGGCUCUGGGCGAGGCUGGCGCUGCCGGGGUAGGACUGCACGGAACUGAUGUAGGGGCUGGACGCGUGGCUGCUGACCGAGUUGACGUAGGGGUAGCCCAGCGGUCGGGAGAAGGAUGAGGCCGAACUGUAGGCACCGUCGGGCUGCGAAUGGCCCGCCGAGUGUAAACAGUGCAUGGAGUAGUGCCCGUGGGACAUGGGAGAAGGAGACAUUUGCUGGUUGGGCGGCCCAAACUCCAUAAACACAGCCUUGCCCGACACGGGGCUGUUGAGACUUUCUGGCAUGGUGGUCAUGGUCAUCUCUUCUCGCGGGGUCUGGGUGUGGGUCUUUCUCUCCUCUGCUUCCCUUUUGGGGGUCUCUAUGUUUCUCAGGACAGGAAGGAACCCAAUUUAAGCGGAACAGGGGUUUUCACUUUCCAUUCAUAAGAAAAUGGAGUUUGUCUCUUUGAAAAGUCUAAGCAUGAUGCUGCCGAGCUCCCCAAACUCGGUUCAAAGCUUUGACUCAGCCAAGGUCAUAAAUAUUCAUGAGCUGGUGGAGCUGAUUGGUCGGCUCUCUUGCAUAAUCACCGGGGAUUGGUCCGAGAAGCUCGGGCUCGGCUGGACUAGAGCGGGCGACGCGGCCCGGCCUGGGGAGAAUCCGGUCCACACGUCCCGGCCGGGGCUCCUCUGCAACAGAGCGCGCGGAGCGGGACGCACAAUGGGCUGCGGCGUCCGCGCAGGAACCUCGAAGGCGCGCGACUCCAGCCUCCCGCCUCCCUCGCGCGCUUCCCGCCCCAGAAACCAACCAGCCGCGCCCUGCCGUCGCCCUCCCCCUUGCUGUCCCCACCCUUCGCCCGCCCCCAACGCCUGGGACCCCGGACCACUUCUUCUUGAGGUCACCUAGUCCGGUGCGGAGCGCCGCUCCAGAGUCCGGCCGCGGUCUCUGGAUCGCGGAGUCGCGCACUGGGCGACAACCCAGGUAGCCUGCAGCCAGCGGUCCUUCUGAGCGUCUUGUGCCUAGCUCAGCGCGCUCCAGGCCGCGCCUCCCAGGUUGGGGUUCUCUCGGCCACAUCCCGGGGAUCUGGGUUUGGGGGCCCUCUGGCCCAACUCACUCACUCGGCCGCCGCCCCGCCGUUGCCACCGUUCCCAGGGGCUUGCUCGCAUCUCUCCAGGCCCAGCUGGCCACUCCAGCUCGAGGCUGCACGGGUCUGAUCAAAGCAGUGCGCGUGGAGAGCCAGGAACCCACGCUUCUCCACCCAGGAAAGGCGGCCGCACCGCCUCCCCCCUCCUUUCCCUCCCAACCUUCCUGCCUCCCCCUCCCCUCUCCACUCCCCCUGAGCCACGAGCCCCGGGCUCACUCGCCCCGAGGGCGCGGCUCAGCGUGGAGUCCUGAGGGCCCGCAGUCGCCUGGUGGCUGGUGCAUCGAACUCCUGCCAGGUGGUCAUUUUCCGACCUCCUGGGGUCUGGCCAGAGUACUUGGGGUUUGGGAGUCCUAGGGAGACACCGACACCCUCAGCAAAUCCUGAUCAGUGGUAGGCUUGAAUAUUUGUGUUUAGAUAUGCCCCUCUCUGUCGCCCGAUCUCUUCCUCACCUCCAGUGGCCAAAGCUGGAGCCUCCGGGCCCGGGGGUGAGGUGGGGAAGCUGGUGAAGGAAAGAGCUGCCAAAGCGCGCUGUCUACCAUCUGGGUGCAAGUGUUGAAAAGUGCACAAAAGAUUCUCUCGCACUCCACCCCCCCACUACUACCACACACCACCUCGCGUGGCGCAAACUACGCUGGUUGCUAGGGACUGUUGGUUCCCAAUCCCGCC
rnacentral:lncRNA from 1 species